rnacentral:lncRNA from 1 species
CUACCUCACCUCGCUCAUCAACGCAUCCUUGACCGCUGGCUACGUCCCUUCCGUCUUCAAGAGAGCGAGAGUUGCACCCCUUCUGAAAAAACCUACACUCGAUCCCUCCGAUGUCAACAACUACAGACCUAUCUGCUGCCUUUGAUACCGUGAACCAUCAGAUCCUCCUCUCCACCCUCUCCGAGCUGGGCAUCUCCGGCACCGCGCACGCUUGGAUUGCGUCCUACCUGACAGGUCGCUCCUACCAGGUGGCGAAUCGCAUCUCUGCAUGUCUGGCAGACAUAUCAGUGUGGAUGACGGAUCACCACCUCAAGCUGAACCUCGGCAAGACGGAGCUGCUCUUCCUCCCGGGGAAGGACUGCCCGUUCCAUGAUCUCGCCAUCACGGUUGACAACUCCCUUGUGUCCUCCUCCCAGAGUGCUAAGAGCCUUGGCGUGACCCUGGACAACACCCUGUCGUUCUCCACCAACAUCAAGGCGGUGACCCGAUC